GCAAACUUGGUCAUUUAGAGGAAGUAAAAGUCGUAACAAGGUUUCCGUAGGUGAACCUGCGGAAGGAUCAUUAUCGAAUGACGCCGCCCGCGCUGUGCGUUCUCUUUCGCACGCGAGGGUGUGUUCAUCUCCUCACACCUGUGCACCUUCGGGUCGAGAGGCCCGCCCUUUUCACCUCACCAACACGUUCUCGAAUGUACAUUUGAUAUAAAAUACAUGUCACAACUUUCAACAACGGAUCUCUUGGCUCUCGCAUCGAUGAAGAACGCAGC
rnacentral:misc_RNA from 1 species